UAGUGAUCAGAAGCGAGAAUGUUGACAUGAGUAGCGACAAACAGGGUGAGAGACCCUGUCGCCGAAAGUCCAAGGGUUCCUGCUUAAAGCUAAUCUGAGCAGGGUAAGCCGGCCCCUAAGGCGAGGCUGAAAGGCGUAGUCGAUGGGAACCAGGUUAAUAUUCCUGGGCCAGGAGAUGGUGACGGAUCGCAGGUGUAGUUCCUCCUUAUCGGAUUGGAGGGGCUGCUGAGCGGUUCCUGGAAAUAGCCCUCCACAAGACCGUACCCUAAACCGACACAGGUGGACUGGUAGAGAAUACCAAGGCGCUUGAGAGAACCACAUUUAAGGAACUCGGCAAGAUACCUCCGUAAGUUCGCGAGAAGGAGGCCCGAUUGGUGCGCAAGCAUCGGUCGGGGGCACAGACCAGGGGGUGGCGACUGUUUACUAAAAACACAGGGCUCUGCGAAGCCGUAAGGCGACGUAUAGGGUCUGACGCCUGCCCGGUGCCGGAAGGUUAAAAGGAGAGGUGCAAGCCUUGAAUUGAAGCCCCGGUAAACGGCGGCCGUAACAAUAACGGUCCUAAGGUAGCGAAAUUCCUUGUCGGGUAAGUUCCGACCUGCACGAAUGGCGUAACGACUUCCCCGCUGUCUCAAAUGUGGACUCAGCGAAAUUGAACUGUCUGUGAAGAUGCAGACUUCCCGCGGUUAGACGGAAAGACCCCAUGCACCUUUACUAUAGCUUCGCACUGGCAUCAGGAUUGCGAUGUGCAGGAUAGGUGGUAGGCAUCGAAGCGGGGACGCCAGUUCCCGUGGAGCCAUCCUUGAGAUACCACCCUUCGCACUCUUGAUGUCUAACCGCGGCCCGUUAUCCGGGUCCGGGACCCUGCGUGGUGGGUAGUUUGACUGGGGCGGUCGCCUCCCAAAGAGUAACGGAGGCGCGCGAAGGUUGGCUCAGAGCGGUCGGAAAUCGCCCGUUGAGUGCAAUGGCAGAAGCCAGCCUGACUGCAAGACUGACAAGUCGAGCAGGGACGAAAGUCGGCCAUAGUGAUCCGGUGGUCCCGAGUGGAAGGGCCAUCGCUCAACGGAUAAAAGGUACGCUGGGGAUAACAGGCUGAUGAUGCCCAAGAGUCCAUAUCGACGGCAUCGUUUGGCACCUCGAUGUCGGCUCAUCUCAUCCUGGGGCUGGAGCAGGUCCCAAGGGUAUGGCUGUUCGCCAUUUAAAGAGGUACGUGAGCUGGGUUUAGAACGUCGUGAGACAGUUCGGUCCCUAUCUGCCGUGGGUGUAGGAUACUUGAGAGGAGUUGCCCCUAGUACGAGAGGACCGGGGUGGACGUUCCACUGGUGGACCAGUUGUCGUGCCAACGGCAGUGCUGGGUAGCUAUGAACGGACAGGAUAAACGCUGAAGGCAUCUAAGCGUGAAGCCCCCCUCAAAACAAGGUAUCCCUUGAGAGCCGUGGAAGACCACCACGUCGAUAGGCCGGAGAUGUAAGCGCAGCAAUGCGUUCAGUUGACCGGUACUAUGGCUCUA
rnacentral:rRNA from 1 species